CAUAUUUACAUGAUAAAAUACUGGAUAGUAGUCAAAAUGAGGAAAUUGCAGCAAUGAAAAUGAAAGUACAAUACUGUACAAGUACAAUACUGAGCUGAAGAAGCCACAAAAGAAUAUGUGGUGUGAUUCCAUUUGCAUAAAAUUCAGAAAGAGGCAAAAAUACUGGAAAGGAGACCAAAUCUGUAAAGAAAGACUGUGGCUACACUUGGGGGGUUGUUACUGGAAAGGGCAUGAAGGAUGCUUCUUCAGUUGUGCAUAUGUUUUAUUUCUCGUAAGUUUUAUUUUUUAAAUUCUAUUUUUUAUUAUUGUUAUUAUUAUUACUAUUUGGCUGUUUGGAGAUUGAACCCAGGACCUCAUGCAUGCUAGGCAAGUGCUCUAUCACUGAGAUAUGCUCUCAACUCCAGUAUUAUUUUAUUUUUAAUUGACAAAUAUCAAUUGUAUGUAUUUAUGGGAUACAGUGUGACGUUUUGAUUCAUGUAUACAUUGUGGAAUGAUCCCCUGGACUAAUUAGCAUAUCCAUCAUCUCAAAUAUUUAUCAUUUAUUUGUGAUGAGAAUAUUCAAAAUCCUCUCCUUUGGUAUUUUGAAGUAUACUUUACUUUUCCCUAUGGUCACUUUCUGCCCACUAGAAUGCCAGAUCUUAUUUCUCCUAUCCAACUGCAACUUAGGACCAUCAGUCAACCUUUCCCAUUCCCCACCAAUCUCCACAGCCUCUGAUGACCACCAUUUUACUCUCAAAUUCCAUGAAUUCAAUGUUUUUAUAUUUCACAUGAGUAAGAUCAUACGCUAUGUGACUUUCUGUUCCUGGUUUAUUUUACUUAACAUAACAUACUAGUCAGAUUUUAUCACUGUGACCAAAAUAGCUGACAAAAACAGCUUAGAGGAGGGAAAGUUUAUUGUGGCUUAGUUCCAGAAGUUUAGUCCAUGAUUGGCCAAUUCCAUUGCUCUGGGCUUAAGGUGAGGCAAAACAUCAUGGCAGAAGGAAUUGGUGGAGGAGUGCUUCUCAGCUCAUGGCAGC
rnacentral:lncRNA from 1 species